CCUGCAUGAAGUCGGAAUUGCUAGUAAUCGUAGGUCAGCAUACUACGGUGAAUACGUUCCCGGGCCUUGUACACACCGCCCGUCAAACCAUGAGAGUUGGCAACACCCGAAGUCGGUAGUCUAACCGCAAGGAGGACGCCGCCGAAGGUGGGGUUGAUGAUUAGGGUUAAGUCGUAACAAGGUAUC
rnacentral:rRNA from 1 species